GACCUCAAAUUAGGUAAGAGUACCCGCUGAACUUAAGCAUAUCAAUAAGCGGAGGAAAAGAAACUAACCAGGAUUCCCUUAGUAACGGCGAGUGAAGCGGGAAUGGCUCAAAUUUUAAAUCUGAUCGGUUCUCCGAUUCGAAUUGUAAUCUAAAGAAGCGUUUACAGCGUCCUCUCGGGUAUAGGUCCCUUGGAAUAGGGCAUCAUAGAGGGUGAGAAUCCCGUCUGUGACACGAGUUCGGGUGCGAUACGUUACGCUUUCGACGAGUCGAGUUGUUUGGGAUUGCAGCUCAAAAUGGGUGGUAAAUUCCAUCUAAGGCUAAAUAUUGGCGAGAGACCGAUAGCGAACAAGUACCGUGAGGGAAAGAUGAAAAGCACUUUGGAAAGAGAGUUAAACAGUAUGUGAAAUUGUUGAAAGGGGAAACGAUUGAAG
rnacentral:rRNA from 1 species